rnacentral:rRNA from 1 species
AACGAACGCUGGCGGCAUGCCUAACACAUGCAAGUCGAACGAGACCUUCGGGUCUAGUGGCGCACGGGUGCGUAACGCGUGGGAACCUGCCCUUAGGUUCGGAAUAACUCCCCGAAAGGGGUGCUAAUACCGGAUAAUGUCUUCGGACCAAAGAUUUAUCGCCUUUGGAUGGGCCCGCGUUGGAUUAGCUAGUUGGUAGGGUAAAAGCCUACCAAGGCGACGAUCCAUAGCUGGUCUGAGAGGAUGAUCAGCCACACUGGGACUGAGACACGGCCCAGACUCCUACGGGAGGCAGCAGUGGGGAAUAUUCGACAAUGGGCGAAAGCCUGAUCCAGCAAUGCCGCGUGAGUGAUGAAGGCCUUAGGGUUGUAAAGCUCUUUUACCCGGGAUGAUAAGGACAGGACCGGGAGAAGAAGCUCCGGCUAACUCCGU